rnacentral:rRNA from 1 species
ACGAACGCUGGCGGCGUGGAUAAGGCAUGCAAGUCGAACGGGAGAAUUGCUAGCUUGCUAAUAAUUCUCUAGUGGCGCACGGGUGAGUAACACGUGAGUAACCUGCCUCUUAGUGGGGGAUAGCCCUGGGAAACCGGGAUUAAUACCGCAUACGAUUGAAAGAUCAAAGCAGCAAUGCGCUAGGAGAUGGGCUCGCGGCCUAUUAGUUAGUUGGUGAGGUAACGGCUCACCAAGGCGAUGACGGGUAGCCGGUCUGAGAGGAUGUCCGGCCACACUGGAACUGAGACACGGUCCAGACACCUACGGGUGGCAGCAGUCGAGAAUCAUUCACAAUGGGGGCAACCCUGAUGGUGCGACGCCGCGUGGGGGAAUGAAGGUCUUCGGAUUGUAAACCCCUGUCAUGUGGGAGCAAAUUAAAAAGAUAGUACCACAAGAGGAAGAGACGGCUAACUCUGUGCCAGCAGCCGCGGUAAUACAGAGGUCUCAAGCGUUGUUCGGAAUCACUGGGCGUAAAGCGUGCGUAGGCUGUUUCGUAAGUCGUGUGUGAAAGGCAGGGGCUCAACCCCUGGAUUGCACAUGAUACUGCGAGACUAGAGUAAUGGAGGGGGAACCGGAAUUCUCGGUGUAGCAGUGAAAUGCGUAGAUAUCGAGAGGAACACUCGUGGCGAAGGCGGGUUCCUGGACAUUAACUGACGCUGAGGCACGAAGGCCAGGGGAGCGAAAGGGAUUAGAUACCCCUGUAGUCCUGGCAGUAAACGGUGCACGCUUGGUGUGCGGGGAAUCGACCCCCUGCGUGCCGGAGCUAACGCGUUAAGCGUGCCGCCUGGGGAGUACGGUCGCAAGAUUAAAACUCAAAGAAAUUGACGGGGACCCGCACAAGCGGUGGAGUAUGUGGCUUAAUUCGAUGCAACGCGAAGAACCUUACCUGGGCUUGACAUGUAAUGAACAACAUGUGAAAGCAUGCGACUCUUCGGAGGCGUUACACAGGUGCUGCAUGGCCGUCGUCAGCUCGUGUCGUGAGAUGUUUGGUUAAGUCCAGCAACGAGCGCAACCCCUGUUGCCAGUUACCAGCACGUCAAGGUGGGGACUCUGGCGAGACUGCCCAGAUCAACUGGGAGGAAGGUGGGGACGACGUCAGGUCAGUAUGGCCCUUAUGCCCAGGGCUGCACACGUACUACAAUGCCCAGUACAGAGGGGGCCGAAGCCGCGAGGCGGAGGAAAUCCUGAAAACUGGGCCCAGUUCGGACUGUAGGCUGCAACCCGCCUACACGAAGCCGGAAUCGCUAGUAAUGGCGCAUCAGCUACGGCGCCGUGAAUACGUUCCCGGGUCUUGUACACACCGCCCGUCACAUCAUGGAAGCCGGUCGCACCCGAAGUAUCUGAAGCCAACCGCAAGGAGGCAGGGUCCUAAGGUGAGACUGGUAACUGGGAUG